UACGGAGGGUGCGAGCGUUGUCCGGAAUCACUGGGCGUAAAGGGCGCGUAGGCGGCCCGGCAAGUCAACGGUGAAAGCUUGGGGCUCAACCCCGAGUCGGCCGUCGAUACUUCCGGGCUGGAGCACUGUAGAGGCAGGUGGAAUUCCGGGUGUAGCGGUGGAAUGCGUAGAGAUCCGGAAGAACACCAGUGGCGAAGGCGGCCCGCUGGGCAGUGGCUGACGCUGAGGCGCGACAGCGUGGGGAGCAAACAGG
rnacentral:rRNA from 1 species